rnacentral:rRNA from 1 species
AUUGAACGCUGGCGGCAGGCCUAACACAUGCAAGUCGAACGAGUGGCGGACGGGUGAGUAAUGUCUGAGAAACUGCCCGAUGGAGGGGGAUAACUACUGGCAACGGUAGCUAAUACCGCAUACCAUCAGAUGUGCCCAGAUGGGAUUAGCUAGUAGAUGGGGUAAAGGCUCACCUAGGCUACGAUCCCUAGCUGGUCUGAGAGGAUGACCAGCCACACUGGAACUGAUACCCGGUUCAGACUCCUACUGGAGGCAGCAGUGGGGAAUAUUGCACAAUGGGCGCAAGCCGGAUGCAGCCAUGCCGCGUGUAUGAAGAAGGCCUUAGGGUUGUAAAGUACUUUCAGCGUGGAAGCAUUACUCGCAGAAGAAGCACCGGCUAACUCCGUGCCAGCAGCCGCGGUAAUUC